ensembl:lncRNA uncharacterized LOC107596547
CAUCUGAUAGUGAUUUUUUGAUUUGUUUUUGAGAACUUGGGUUGCAUUAUUAAUUUUUUGACAAAAGAACACUUUGAAAACUUCUGUGUUUCUGCCUCAUUUCUAUUCUUCUGAAUCCAAUUGUGCAGAUCUUUCCCUGGAGAUUUACAUGCACACAAACUUGCCAUCCUAAAAUCAACAGCACACUGAUGUUUUUAUUCAAGCAGCAUACUGUCUGUAUGCUUCCUACAGAGGGUUAACGCGCCCGCUGAACCGGAUGUGAUUCUUUCUCCGUCUCACUGUUGUGUUGUCGUUGCACGGCCAAUGGCGGACGGUGCCUGAACAUUUAUCUGAAAAACGUACGUUUCGCUCAAAUAUACUUGAACAUCGAUCGGCCAUUUAAAGCUUUUCGAUCGCACGUGUGUUUUGGCCCGUCAGCAUGGAUGUGAAUUUGACCAUCUCUCUGAUGCGGGGCCAGAUGGGCGCUGUUAUCGAGAACGCCGUGAACGUCGCGGUGGAGACCGUGCUAGGAGAGAUGAUCCGGGUGGUCGGGCUCAAAUUUGAGGAGAUCAAACGGGAGAUGACAGCUAAAGAGAAGGAGAACGAGAACAUCAGGAGGAUGUUGGAGACGUCCCGCUGUCAGAUGAAAACCAUGCGCAAGUACAUCAGCGUCCUGUCUGCUAAAGAGCCCAACCACAGACAGUAUCAGGGAGAUGGAGACAUGGCAGCAACAUCCACAGGGAUGCACUGCAGAAGAGGGCCGAUGAGCAAUCCCCCAAAGCCCUGUCCCUGUCCCAGACCUAGAGUCUCUGAGCCAGCCCCUGUAACGUUCGCUGGACCCUCAUGGGUGAGACAGCAGAUGCACAUGUCCAAAGAAACAUUGAGACGUGAGCAUCACAUUCCUGAGGUCAACAUUGAAGAGACACAUGGAUCAACAGUUCAUAAAGUUGAGAACUCAAGCUCUCAUCUGGUGGACAGUCAGGCGCUUCUGUCUGAGACCAUUGAUCCAAUCUGGGGUCAGGACCCUCUCGCCUCUGCAGAGACUGGACACACAGACAUGCUGGACAGCAGCGUCCUCUCUGCACCCAUGAUGGCAGAUGAAAAUGUGUCAUCCCAAACGACAAGCACAUUGACCUUUGGAGCACCGUCACUUAAAAUCAAACAGGAGGAGGCGGAGGUUGAAAUAGUCUGUGUGAAAGAUGAACCCACAGAAGCUGGAAGCAUACAUACAUUUGAAUAUUCCAACGCUGAACUUCACCAGCCAGCGGAAGAACCAGAGCUCGGGGUCUCACUAGAUCUACAUGCAUCAUUUCAAGCUCUUCAGAGUCCAAGCACUUCAGCAGACCUUGCAAUCCCAGCAUUCAUCAGUGUGGACCCAACUACCUAUGACGACUCUCAGCUGUCAGUGGCAGGGGUCCAAAAGCAGGUGCGUCCGAGACGUAAGGACCUGAAUCUGUAUGAAGAAUACAAACUCAGCCGGACUCUGAGAGGGCGCAACACGAACAGAGGCCGUAGUACAAACCGACGGCGUGAGCUGGAGCAGACUCUACCGCAGGCUCUACUUGCAGACUUGGUAAGGGAACGAAGGGAAAAGACUCGUCUUCGAGUGGCCCGCUGGCGUGCCAAACGCAAAUUACAAGCCUGUCUGAUGGCCUCGCAGGCUGCGCAGUUUAGCGGCGCUCCUGUGCAGAGUUCACCUGCCCAGCGUGGUGGCCUGAUCUCCUCACGCAGGCGAGGCGGAGCGAUGGCGCAGCGCGGUGGGCUUGGAAUGAGAAGGGGACUGUCAGAGACUGGCACAUAUAACCUGCUGCUGCAGCUGGGACCCAGUCCUACUCAAUCAGCUGCGACACGCGGCAUGAAUGAGGGUCUGAUGCCAUCUGGACCCUCAGCGCUAUCACAGCACAGAACCACUGCACCGAGAUCAACUUAUCAAUGAUGCAGUUUACUAAGUAUUGGCGCGCUAGGUUGUUGUCAUCUUAAUGGUUAACUGUUAUAUUUUCCGAAGUGAGGCACUUACACUAUAAACUUACACUGAUCUGUGCAAACAUCAUAUACAACAAAAAUUGGACUAUUCAUUAAAGGUGCUGUAUGUAGGAUUGACACAGAGUGGCUGAACUAGGUACUGCAGUCCAAAUUCAAAAUAUUGGAGAGGGUUUUUUCACCCGGCCCCUCCUUCUCAGACUUGACGCACACGCAGGUUGCCAGAUUGACGACACCAACAGGAAUGAGCGCACUUGACGAUGAAUGAAAUGAAAUGCGCUGUGUUUUCCGCCAACUGGCAACCUGGGGUCCCGAAAUACAAUUGGGUAAACUGGCAGUGCCAGUUUCACAAACCAAAACAGAGACCGACAUUCCGGCCCGGAACGCACAUUUUCAAAGGAGAAUAACUGACUGUAGCAUUGUUUUUCAGAUAAACAAGUAUGUUAACUUAGCAUGUUUCUUAAAUAUCUGCAAACAUAUUAUGGUAUUUUUAUGCUUUAGUAGAGUCAAAAACUUACAUACAGCACCUUUAAUGUUUACUUUGGCAUAGGGCUGGGCGAUUUUUCAGAAUUUAUCGAUUAAUUCGAAUGUAAUGUUUUGUCACGAUUUUUUUUAUAUACAUAUAAAUCUCGAUUUUGAAUAGAAAUAUUACCAAACGUGUGACGCACUCUGUGAAGGACCGUAAGUCAAACAGUCAAGAGCGCAAGUCAUAUGUGUCCAUGUUUACAUAGAAAAACCAUGGAAAAGCAGUGCAAUUGAAUUAAAAAGCU